AUUGAACGCUGGCGGCAGGCCUAACACAUGCAAGUCGAACGAGUGGCGGACGGGCGAGUAAUGUCUGGGAAACUGCCUGAUGGAGGGGGAUAACUACUGGAAACGGUAGCUACUACCGCAUACCAUCAGAUCGGCCCAGAUGGGAGUAGGUAGUAGGUGGGGUAAUGGCUCACCUAGGCGACGAGCCCUAGCUGGUCUGAGAGGGUGAACGGCCACACUGGAACUGAGACACGGGCCAGACUCCUACGGGAGGCAGCAGUGGGGAAGAUUGGACAAUGGGCGCAAGCCUGAUGCAGCCAGGCCGCGUGUGUGAAGAAGGUCUUCGGGUUGUAAAGCACUGUCAGCGGGGAGGCGUUACUCGCAGAGGAAGCACCGGCUAACUCCGUGCCAGCAGCCGCGGUAAUUC
rnacentral:rRNA from 1 species